AUGGAUUGGAAUGAAUAGGAAUCACCAAAGUAAAGUUACUUUCCACAGACACCAUACAAUAUUCAGCCACAACAUUAAAACCACCUGCCUAAUACCGUGUAGGUCCCCAUCAUGCUGCCGAAACAGCUGAUGCAUUGAGGCAUGGACCACACAAGACCUCUGAACAUAUCCGGUGGUAUCUGACACCAAGACAUUAGCAGCAGUUACUUUAAGUUAAGAUUUGUUGUUCUAGAACAGGGGCAGGCAACCUUCGGCACUCCAGAUGUUGUGGACUACAUCUCCCAUAUGGCUCUUACACCCUUAAUGAUUGCAAAGCAUCAUGGGAGGUGUAGUCCAAAACAUUUGGAGUGCCAAAGGUUGCCUAUGCCUGUUCUAGAACAUCCCACAGACACUCAAUCGCAUAACGCAAACAACCCACAAGUCUUGCCAUUUUGGAAAUGCUCUGAGCCAGUUGUCUAGCCAUUACUAUUUGGUCCUUGUCAAAGUACUCAGAUGUUUUCACUUGCCCAUUUUUACUGCUUGGAACACAUGAAAGUCAAGAACAAACUGUUAACUUGCUGCCUAAUAUAUCCCACCCUUUGACAGGUGUGCCAUUGUAACAAUAUAAUCAAUGUUAUUCACUUCACCUGCCAAUUGUUUUAACGUUGUGGCCGAUCAGUGUACGAUAACUACAUCAUGCACUACUCAACAUCAUCAAGACAUUUUGGCCUAAAAUGUGAAAUACAUAGUAAAGACAAAAGGGAAUUGGGGGCACACCUGGAACGUGCAUUUUGCAGGAAUUUAAGAAGCCUUAUAGAUUUUAGAAAUGUAUUUUUAUGUGUGCACUGUUCCUUAUUCUGCAUUAUGUAAAAUAUAUCUUGAAUUACUGAUACUUGACAUGAUAGCGAAGUAUCAUGCAAGUGGUCUUCUUUGAGUUCUAAAUCACUAUUUUCCCACUUAUUAUCUUGUUUGUUUCUUUUUCUGUGGAGUGCAGAAUGAUUGCUGUAUGUAAAUAAUUCAGAGUCAAAU